UUGGCGCGGUGAAUGGGGAGGAGUUUGGUGGGGGCUGCGGCGCUCACUCGCGGCUUCCCAGGAAAACGCGUCUUCAAGAGCUGAGGGUCUGCUCUCAGGGCCGCUCAGAGGGAGACAGAGACGCUGCAUUUAUAGGAUUGGAAGGGAAGCAAGGACAGGCGCUGUAAUGGGAAGAGCUCUUCACUAGUGGGCAACCUUCCCGGGAUGGGAACUGGAAGUAGCAGCGCCACACCACCGCUGCCAGCACCUGCUGCAACUAGGAUCAUGGAGGUCCAGGUCUGACAGUACUAUACUCCCAGAGCUAUCUCAUUGGCCACAUAUCCUGUAUGGUUGGUUGGUUGGUUGGCUGGUUUGGUUGGAGACAGGGCCUCCAUAUGCAGCUGUGGAACAUACUAUGUAAACCAAGCUGGGCUUCAAACUCACAGAGAUCUGCUUGCCCCUGUCUCCCAAG